rnacentral:lncRNA from 1 species
UGAAAUUCAGAAAAAAAAAAGUGAAGUUGACAUAAGGUGACCUAAAAAUUAAAAAAAUCUUCAACCAACCAUGAAACAAGAUCCAUCACAUCUCCUAUUUGCUCGGUGAAACGUUCACCACAUCCUAAGCGCAUCAAACAGUCCAUCAAACACAGUUUUAUGAGGUUUUGGCCCACAGGGUAUGCGGGAGGAACUGUGCCACAUACCAAACUGAACCAGUCACCCUCUUCCAUGUAGAGACAAAGUAUAUACCAUCUUUCGGAU